AUUGAACGCUGGCGGCAUGCCUAACACAUGCAAGUCGAACGGGGCAGCAAUGCCUAGUGGCGGACGGGUGAGGAAUACGUAGGAAUCUGCCCUUAAGUGGGGGAUAACCAGGGGAAACCCUGACUAAUACCGCAUGAUCUCUUCGGAGCAAAGAGGGGGACCGCAAGGCCUCUCGCUUCUGGAUGAGCCUACGUCUGAUUAGCUAGUUGGUAGGGUAAGGCCUACCAAGGCGACGAUCAGUAACUGGUCUGAGAGGAUGAUCAGUCACACCGGAACUGAGGCACGGUCCGGACUCCUACGGGAGGCAGCAGUGGGGAAUAUUGGACAAUGGGCGCAAGCCUGAUCCAGCAAUGCCGCGUGUGUGAAGAAGGCCUUCGGGUUGUAAAGCACUUUAGCCUGGAAAGAAAAAACUUUGGUUAACACCCAAAGUCUUGACGGUACCAGGAGAAUAAGCACCGGCUAACUCUGUGCCAGCAGCCGCAGUAACAC
rnacentral:rRNA from 1 species